ensembl:scaRNA
ACACUCACUGGGGCUUGGUCCUCUCCAUGUGGUCCUGACCUGCCCCCCCCCCCCCGUGAGUGAGAGAAACAGGACUGGUUUGGGGGUGUCCUGUCCGAGUGGACACGGGAGACCACAGUUUCCAGCACAACA